GUGUUGGAGAAUUUGGGGCGUUUCGCUAAUUCAGUUGGUGGUGUCCGGCUAGUUUUUUUUUUAUGCCGUGCCGGAGGGAAAAACAUUGCAAUGAUUUUAAGUUUUAAGGGAAACUCCCAGCAUUAAUUUUGUCUUUAAAAAACUCCUAGGUAGAAAGAGAAUACCGGGUCUGUCUUCUAAUAUAAUUGGCAUCUGUAAAGGAGAACAGUGAUCCUGGAGACACAGGAAACAAAUAGCAGCUCAAAAAGCUUACUGCCUUUAAAAAAUUUCCAGAAUGCGGUGCAGGUAGAGAGGACCCAAGCAGAGCCCAGCGGAUUACCUGCGCUGACAAGAUUAAGCUGAUAUUCUGGAGAGAUCAAGACAGGAAACAUCCCUUCUAACUAAAGACACCUGUACAU